rnacentral:telomerase_RNA from 1 species
AUCUAACAACAUGCAGCUAGCAUACGGAGGUUGUCUUUGCGGCUGCACGUCGCAAUAUCUAACCCUAGGUUUUUCAUGAACUUGCUGUAAGCUCGUAGUUUUUCAUCUGGCUUUCUGCGAGUUGUAAGUUCACACUUUGGUGGUACUGUUGGGCAAAAAAAGCUAGAUUAUCUCCGAUGUUUGUCGGUAAAAUGCGGUGUGCAAACUUCAUGACAAGCUUCGCCGAGACUGGCACAGUCCCAUACGUGCCAUCCCGUGUACGGAUGGGAAGUGCCGAGCACCGGAGGUUUGGCCAUGCACUCAAUGUGCAAUUUUCCUUCAGUCAAAGAGCCUUUCCAAUGAACUACUGUCAGUCGCAUCAGCUGUUUGUAGACGUCUACUCUCAGUGUGUGCACAUUGGUCAGAAUGUUUUGUUAGGGCUAAGACGUGACUGAUCGUUAAAUUAUUGUUCAAUUGUGUUUGUACCAGAUCAACUUGCCAAGAAUUUGAGAAGAAACUCAUACUGAGAUUUGUAUGAGUUUAUCAAACCUUGGUACAUUU